UACGUAGGGUGCAAGCGUUAAUCGGAAUUAUUGGGCGUAAAGCGCGCGCAGGCGGCGGAUUAAGUCUGGUGUUUAAGGCCGGGGCUCAACCCCGGAACGCACCGGAAACUGGUUCGCUUGAGUGCAGAAGAGGAGAGUGGAAUUCCACGUGUAGCGGUGAAAUGCGUAGAGAUGUGGAGGAACACCAGUGGCGAAGGCGACUCUCUGGUCUGUAACUGACGCUGAGGCGCGAAAGCGUGGGGAGCAAACAGG
rnacentral:rRNA from 1 species